GCCUCUGUAGCUCAAGUGGUAAAACACUGGUCUUGUAACCCACGGUCGAGAGUUCAAUCCUCACAGGAGGCA